CCGCGGAAGCAUAAAGUGUAAAGCCUGGGGUGCCUAAUGAGUGAGCUAACUCACAUUAAUUGCGUUGCGCUCACUGCCCGCUUUCCAGUCGGGAAACCUGUCGUGCCAGCUGCAUUAAUGAAUCGGCCAACGCGCGGGGAGAGGCGGUUUGCGUAUUGGGCGCCAGGGUGGUUUUUCUUUUCACCAGUGAGACGGGCAACAGCUGAUUGCCCUUCACCGCCUGGCCCUGAGAGAGUUGCAGCAAGCGGUCCACGCUGGUUUGCCCCAGCAGGCGAAAAUCCUGUUUGCUGGUGGUUAACGGCGGGAUAUAACAUGAGCUGUCUUCGGUAUCGUCGUAUCCCACUACCGAGAUAUCCGCACCAACGCGCAGCCCGGACUCGGUAAUGGCGCGCAUUGCGCCCAGCGCCAUCUGAUCGUUGGCAACCAGCAUCGCAGUGGGAACGAUGCCCUCAUUCAGCAUUUGCAUGGUUUGUUGAAAACCGGACAUGGCACUCCAGUCGCCUUCCCGUUCCGCUAUCGGCUGAAUUUGAUUGCGAGUGAGAUAUUUAUGCCAGCCAGCCAGACGCAGACGCGCCGAGACAGAACUUAAUGGGCCCGCUAACAGCGCGAUUUGCUGGUGACCCAAUGCGACCAGAUGCUCCACGCCCAGUCGCGUACCGUCUUCAUGGGAGAAAAUAAUACUGUUGAUGGGUGUCUGGUCAGAGACAUCAAGAAAUAACGCCGGAACAUUAGUGCAGGCAGCUUCCACAGCAAUGGCAUCCUGGUCAUCCAGCGGAUAGUUAAUGAUCAGCCCACUGACGCGUUGCGCGAGAAGAUUGUGCACCGCCGCUUUACAGGCUUCGACGCCGCUUCGUUCUACCAUCGACACCACCACGCUGGCACCCAGUUGAUCGGCGCGAGAUUUAAUCGCCGCGACAAUUUGCGACGGCGCGUGCAGGGCCAGACUGGAGGUGGCAACGCCAAUCAGCAACGACUGUUUGCCCGCCAGUUGUUGUGCCACGCGGUUGGGAAUGUAAUUCAGCUCCGCCAUCGCCGCUUCCACUUUUUCCCGCGUUUUCGCAGAAACGUGGCUGGCCUGGUUCACCACGCGGGAAACGGUCUGAUAAGAGACACCGGCAUACUCUGCGACAUCGUAUAACGUUACUGGUUUCACAUUCACCACCCUGAAUUGACUCUCUUCCGGGCGCUAUCAUGCCAUACCGCGAAAGGUUUUGCGCCAUUCGAUCUACGCCGGACGCAUCGUGGCCGCAAA
rnacentral:misc_RNA from 1 species